ensembl:lncRNA
CUUGUCUGGAGAAUUCCAUGGACAGACCAUGUGGUCGCAAAGAGUUGGACACGACUGAGCAACUAACACUUUUCACUGUCAUACAUCUCCAUUGAAGAUGAAUCCCUUGUAGAGAUCUGGAUCUGGAAACCGAAUUGCCUGGAGGGAGGCAGGCCUCAGGACAUCAUUUACUGGCAUGGACAGUAGCAGAGACUGCACAGUUCUGCAGCCAGCAGCUUCUGAUGCAGUGGCUGCCUGCCGAUGGGAGCAGCGUUCCUGGUCAUAGCAGACGUGAUGAAUUUGGCG